rnacentral:rRNA from 1 species
GAUGAACGCUGGCGGCGUGCCUAAUACAUGCAAGUCGAGCGAAUGGAUUAAGAGCUUGCUCUUAUGAAGUUAGCGGCGGACGGGUGAGUAACACGUGGGUAACCUGCUCAUAAGACUGGGAUAACUCCGGGAAACCGGGGCUAAUACCGGAUAACAUUUUGAACCGCAUGGUUCGAAAUUGAAAGGCGGCUUCGGCUGUCACUUAUGGAUGGACCCGCGUCGCAUUAGCUAGUUGGUGAGGUAACGGCUCACCAAGGCAACGAUGCGUAGCCGAACUGAGAGGGUGAUCGGCCACACUGGGACUGAGACACGGCCCAGACUCAUACGGGAGGCAGCAGUAGGGAAUCUUCCGCAAUGGACGAAAGUCUGACGGAGCAACGCCGCGUGAGUGAUGAAGGCUUUCGGGUCGUAAAACUCUGUUGUUAGGGAAGAACAAGUGCUAGUUGAAUAAGCUGGCACCUUGACGGUACCUAACCAGAAAGCCACGGCUAACUACGUGCCAGCCGCCGCCGUAA